ensembl:miRNA
UUAUCAGAAUCUCCAGGGGUACUUAAAAUUUGAAAAAGUCCCCCAGGUGUGAUUCUGAUUUGC